AAAAAAAAAAAAAAAAAAAAAAAUUCCAGACGCUUUUCCGCUAUGUUUUAAACUAAAAGGGACCCCGGGGCGUGACAAAACCCAAAGCCAAAAACAAAACCAAAAUCAUAUAAAAACAUACUAUAUAUAAAAUACAAUUUUUAUAUAUCAUUUAAAAAUUAAUUUAAUAUUUAUAUAUUAAAUAGUCAAAUUUAGAUUUACAAAAAUUAUCUUGAAAUACCUAUUAGUGUUUUUAUUAUUGAUAAGAGAUAAAGGGUAAAAUUAAUAUUUUAAAAAUUUAACUCUAUUUCAGAUGAUUUUAAUGGAUAUUAACUAGUGGAGUGCAUUUGUGAUAAUUUUUAACAUGUUGGAGAGUAUUCGUGAUAUUAUCAAUUUUAAAAAGUUAUUGAUGAAAUUAACAGUUUCUAGAAGGGCAUCAAUGAAAUUAUCCCUAUAGUUAAAGGAGUGGUGCAAGGGUAGAAAUGGUAUUUACACCUUAUUCCGUUAGAUUCUAACGGUACAUAACGUGUAGGGGUAUUUAUGAAUUUUUUUAAAAUUUAGAAGGGCAUUGAUAUUUUGAAUUUUAGAGGGCUAUUGAUGAAAUUUCAGUCUCCUAUAGUGGCAUCUAUGAAAUUUUCCCUAUAUUUUAAUUGCCCCAGUGCUCUUUGCUAAGUAUUUUUAUUAAGUUCAGGCAAGUUUUUCGUGCAUCUACUUCAUUUUAUUUUUAUUUUGCAUCGUAUUAAUUAUGAUGAUAUACAAUAAUUCUUCUAAUUUGUUAUCCCAUUCUAUCUGUGUCAUUUUAUUUUGGAAAAACUUCAAAAACCCCCCUUGUGGUUUCAAUUUUUUUCACUUUAGUACCCUGUGGUUUAAAAUGUAUCAAAUUAGUACCCUGUGGUUUCUCACUUUAUCACUUUAGUACCCUGUGGUUUAAGUUGUAUCAAAUUAGUACCCUGUGGUUUUGCACUUUAUCACUUUAGUAUCCUGUGGUUUUAAUUUUGUAUCAAGUACCCUGUAGUUUUUUAAACCAUAGGCUACUAAAGUGAUAAAGUGUGAAACCACAUGGUACUAAAGUUAUAAAGUGAAAAACUACAUGGUAUUAACUUGAUACACUUUAAACCACAGGGUAUUAAAGUGAUAAAGUGAGAAACCACAGGGUACUAACUUGAUACACUUUAAACCACAAGGUACUAAAAUAAAAAAGUGUGAAAC
rnacentral:lncRNA from 1 species